AUUGAACGCUGGCGGCAGGCCUAACACAUGAAAGUCGAGCGGAUGAGAAGAGCUUGCUCUUCGAUUCAGCGGCGGACGGGUGAGUAAUGCCUAGGAAUCUGCCUGGUAGUGGGGGACAACGUUUCAAAAGGAACGCUAAUACCGCAUACGUCCUACGGGAGAAAGCAGGGGACCUUCGGGCCUUGCGCUAUCAGAUGAGCCUAGGUCGGAUUAGCUAGUUGGUGGGGUAAUGGCUCACCAAGGCGACGAUCCGUAACUGGUCUGAGAGGAUGAUCAGUCACACUGGGACUGAGACACGGUCCAGACUCCUACGGGAGGCAGCAGUGGGGAAUAUUGGACAAUGGGCGAAAGCCUGAUCCAGCCAUGCCGCGUGUGUGAAGAAGGUCUUCGGAUUGUAAAGCACUUUAAGUUGGGAGGAAGGGCAGUAAGUUAAUACCUUGCUGUUUUGACGUUACCGACAGAAUAAGCACCGGCUAACUCUGUGCCAGCCGCCGCCGUAAGAC
rnacentral:rRNA from 1 species